AAAAAGUUAGUUAAAUUAUAACCUAAACUUGUCAAGUUUAAAUUAUUACAAAAUAAUACUUUUUU
rnacentral:tRNA from 1 species